GGUUGGUGGCCCAGGCCAGUGCCAGCUCCAAGCAGAGAGCCACGGUCACCUACAUCUGCCUGGGCUGCCCUCCCCCAGCUGUGCCUCCCUCACCUGCCUGUCACCCUCUCUGUUCCAGCGGAGCUCGAGAAGCAGAAGGGCGUCGUGCGGCCCAGCAUGUCCCAGUGCUCCAGCCUCAAGAAGGAGCCUGGCAACGGCACGCUGAGCCGGGCCUGCCUGGACGACAGCUACGCAAGUGGCGAGGGCCUCAAGCGCAGUGCACUCAGCAGCUCCCUGCGCGACCUGUCAGAAGCGGCAAAACCCCGAAAUUCAUUGCCAGCAUGAGAGUUUAAGGCAGAGCUUCUCAACCUGGGCACCGUGGGCGUUUUGGCUAAACAACCCCAGCCUUGCAGGAGGCCACACAGCACCCCUGGCCCGUCCUGCCUGUCCCUGGCAUCUCCACAAGCCGCCAGGGGACCCUCAAGCGUGGGUUGAGAACCCCUGGCUUUCCUGGUCGCCUUGUUCACCCAGCUACAUGUCUUGGGACUGCUUGGGCCUCUGAGGUGUGGCCAGGCUGUUUGAGUUUGUGCACUGUGGCAGGCCACGCCCCCUCCCCCAGGCAGCUGCCAGAGAGGCCCUGUCCAGCCCCCCUAGGUGGCAGUGGCUCCUGUGGCCAGCCAGACACUCUCCCCGCUGUCUGGGGACCCUGAGGUCUGCACAGCCCACUCACCGAGGAGCAGGUCCCUGGGCGCCCUGUGCGUGGAAAGCCUGGGGUGAACUGAGGAGGGGUCUGCACGGAGGAGACUGCUGGACCAGCGGCUUGGAGGCUGGAGGAUUCCUGCUCUGGACCGGCUAUGCCGUGAGCCCCCUGCAGGCAAUGUGACACCCUGGCCCGCACCACACACAGUCUGGGGCGGUGACACCGAGACAACUCUUUGGUCCACGUCUGUCCAGGAGACAACAUACAGAGGACCCAGCCUGAGCCCCACGUGAACUGGACCAGGGAAGUGACCCCUGUCUGCUGGCCCUGGAGGAAGCCAUUGUCACUCAGGCUGGAGAGGGAAGGGCACUGGGGUCUGUCCUCAGCACCCGGCCCAGCUCAGUGGUGCGAUGGUGGAUGCUAUAUGGGCUGUCACCCAGCUGACCUCUGCUGAGCUGACCAGCACAAGUCCCCACGGAGAGGCCAUCCCUGGCGUUGAUAGUGGCACCAGUGGCACUGGGGAUGGAUGGACAAAGCAUCACCACCUGUAGCCACCAUGACACGCCUGAGGCCAGGCUCUGAUGUCCAGCAUUGGAGCCAGCCUACCAGGCCAUGUCCUCACCGCAAUGUGGAAGGUCAAUGUGUGCGGACCAUACAGAGCCAGCCCUGGCUGCUGGGCCCAGUGAGGGCACCAUGGAGCGAGGACCGCACAGCUGCAUCCUGUCCUGCUGUGGCACCCCAGGGUGCCAGGUCUGACCUGAUCCAAGUGAGGACCACUGUCCCUCACCCCGGAUCCUGCAAGGUGACAGAAGACAGUGGGAUGACACUUCUGGUCAAGUGUGUGUGCCAGCUGUCCAGCAGGGUUCCCUGGCCACAGGAGUGCUGGGUGUGCCUGUGAGCACGGGGCUCCCUCCGCAUCCUGGGUCGAGUUACAAGUUCAGCAUCGCACUUUGGAAACAUCACUCUGAGAUAGCCCAUUUAAAGGCCUUGAUGUCUGCUCCCAGAGGGCAGAGAAGGAGCACGAGAAAGACCUUGUUCACCCCCAAGCCCAGCUCUGCAGGCCUGGCCCACAACUGCCAGGCACAGCGGGUGGAUAGAAGUGGGUAUGGCAGGGACAGGCAGCUGGCUGUCCUCUGUCCUUGGCUUGUACUCAGUUGAGGGAGUGGGCCAAGCCUUUCAGGGGCCAGAGAGCAGAUUUUAAAACACUGAAGAACUGAGCAUGGUGGAUCAUGCCGGUAAUCCCAGCACUCUGGGAGGCUGAGACAGGAGGAUUACAAGUUCAGCCCCAGCCUGGUCAAUUUAGCAAGAGCCUGCCUCAAAAUAAAAGAGGGCUGGGAAUGUAGCCCUGUGCUAAGGCCCUGGGCUCAGUCCCCCUUUAUUGCAGUCACUAAGCAAAUGCCAAAGACAGCAGAGAUCAGACUGUCAGCAUUUCCAUGUGGCACCACAGUGUCCUGAGUGUGGAGUUCAGGGCCACUCGGGAGGCCAGCCAGGGAAGGCAGGCCGGGUCAGUUUCACAGGAGGGGGACCCUGAGGUCUGGAACCUAAGCGCCUGUUCCGUGUCCCUGGACACUGCUGGCAAAGGGCUGCUUCCCACCCGAGGACAGCAGAAGACACAGGGACCGGGGCCCAGUCAUCCCCAGGGCAUGGCAGCGGUGGAAACGCUCUGCUGGACUGUGGCACAGCUGUCUGUGGCCCUGGUGCCCACUUGGGUCAGCAGGCAGGAUGAAGUGACUGGACUCCCCGUCAGUGUGGCCAUCCCAGCGCACUCGUGUGACUGUGACGAACCCUGCAGCUCCACCCGACACUUUCAGGUGCCCUGGCCUGGCUCUGAGGAGCGGCAGCAUUUGCCCCAGAAGCAGGGGCCGGGGAUGCCUCGGAGUACGUGGCAGCCUCCCCUGUCCCCAAGGCCCGGGGCCACCUGGCUUUGCAUCCAGAGCAGUGGCAGUGUGGCCUAGACAUGUGGUUGCAGUGACGGACACAGUGCUGCGGGCCUCAGUGACGGGGGCUGUGGGAACUGUGCCUUCCAUCCCCGCCUGCCACUGCCUGGCCCCUCCUCCGAUGCAGACAGAGCGGCGCCCCUGGGACCCUGGAGUGCAGCAUGGUGCUGCCAAGUGCCUGUGUGCCUCGUGCUGGGGCCGAGGCCACGACAAGGCCUGCUGGCUCAGAGAACCCCGUGCCCGCACCUGGAGGGGGCUGGGAGGGGAGGAACAAGGGCCCCGUCACGCCUGUCUCCUGCCCCCCGCCAGGGCACUGCACAAACAGCACUCAGCCCAGAGGCCCUGGGGGGUUUGUUCCCCUCACCCACCACCCCGCUCUGCCACAAACUGGGGCACACAUAUAUGUGUGUAUGUGUGCGUGUACAUGCAUGGAUAUGAGACCCACGCAGUCAGGGCCCGGGCCAACCUGGGUGCUUGUGGCCACUGAGAAGCCACCCGUGCACCUUCCCCUCUGCACGCAGCUGCAGCCGACGACAGGAGUCGCACUGAGCCAGCUGUGCACAUGUCCCUGCCCCAGGAUCCUUCCCCACGGCCUGGGGUGCGGGACAAGGAGCAGAAAGCUGGUGCUGGCUUGAAACAUCUUUCCUGAAGUCCUCACCGCGUACUUGGCGUUGGGCAGGCAGGCCUGGCCCCUGUGCCUGCUCGGUGACAGUGGCGGCGGCGGCAGCAGCACCAGGCAGGCAGGCAGGCGGCACCCAGCCUGGUGUGCGUGUCUAACCUCUGGUAUUGCAUGUUCUGGGCAGGGAAGCGAGGGCGUCGCAGCAGUGCGGGAUCGCUAGAGAGCAAUGUGGAAGUAAGUAGGAAGCACCUCGUCCGGCUGGCUGUCCGUGUCACCCCAUCCUUGGUUCUCUGUCAUCUGUCCUGCUCUGCCUCCCCUGCACAGACAGGCAGAUGAGGCCCGCCCUGCCUGCCUCCGCCCUGUGCAUGCAGCUUCUCUGCCUCCCACAUCCAUGCCUCUCACCCUUGUUUUGGACCCACUGGUGGGGGGUGGCUCUGGAUUUUGUGUUUUCAUUUUGCUUAACCCUUGUCCCCUGUGGUCCCUGAGCAUGGUUAACCAUCCCAGCUUCACAAACCCACCCUGGGGUCCCUGCCCCGGCUGUCACUGCCCUUCCACUGGCUGUGGGAUUUGUCUGCCCCACUCGGCUUCUGUGCCCGGCCACGCCAUCCCUUCCUUCCUGGAGUUGGGCUGGCUGUGUCUGCCGUCAGGACCCCAUGGAAUUGCGUAGCUAUCCCCUGGGAGGACAGCGUCUGAGAGAGGAGUCAGUGUGGAGUUCAUGAGAUUUCAUUCAUCCUUCCCCAUCCAGCACUGUCCUCAUCUUGGCUCAGCUGGCAGAUCCUUUUCUGUUUUUCCUUUUCUUCAUUUGGUUAGCAGUAGGUAGCUGCAGUGAAAUGCCUAGGCGGCCCACGCCCCCAGGGACAAGGCUGCAGGGCCCCCCUUGUCUGUGUCACCACCCCUCAGGCACGUUGGGACCCCCAUGUGGGUGGGGCCAAUAUCCCCGGCCCAUGGAGAGGUCCCAGGGGAGAUCAGGACGGAAGUCAGCAGGAGCUGGGCUGCUUUUCCGUGCACAGUACCCCUCCCUGCCUCAUGCCGCUCAGGACACCCAGCCCGGGACUUGAGCCCUCAGGCAGGCAGCCCGCACGAUGUCUGUGCCGCAUGUGCACCAUGGCCCAGAAAGUAGGUGCUUCCUCCCCUGCCCGCAUGCCCCGAGGAGGCAGCCCGCAUCCAGCGCCCCCCCGGCCAGUGAGCGAACGGAGGGUUUAGCAGUCAGCAGGGGACUUUUACAUUGAAAGAAAAUCAUUCUGACCUCCGUGCUGUAAGAUCUUUUAAUGUUGAUUUCUAUGAAUUUCCUUUUCAGGGGUCCGUCAUUAGCAGUCCUCACAUGCGCCGAAGAGCUGCAUCCACACGGGAGUGUCCAUCUGGCCCACACCAGACCCUGCCCAACUCCUCCUCCCUCCUGGGCUCCUUGUUCGGGAGCAGGCAAGGGAAGCUCCCUCCCCAGACCCACCCCGGGCCCACGGAGGUCCCAGUUCACACCCAUCACGCCCAGUGCUGCCGCCUACAGCAGAACCCGAUCCCCUACCACCACCACCACCACUACCACCCACCCCAGCACCUCCAGCACGCCCACCAGUACCACCACGGCCCCCACGGGGGCCACCCCACCUACAGCGCCCAGGGCCACGGCCACCCACCGCUGCCCGCGGCCCACACCGGCCACGCAGCGCACCACCACGGGCAGCCGCCCGCCCCGCCGCCCCCCGCCAGCAGCAAGGCCAAACCCAGCGGCAUCAGCACAAUUGUGUAGACAGCAGGGCGGGGCCCCACCC
ensembl:lncRNA